CAACGAUGGAGGAGCAAGGUCGACCAACAGAAGGAGAUGAGAUGACGAGUCCAUUUCCCAUCUCUACACAGCAGCCAACAUGGCCCAAAGUGAAGAAAGUUUAGGCUGACCAGGAUCCUGAAGUGAGGAACAGUCCCUCUCCCAUUUAACAGCAUUCAUGAGCAGAAAGUGCGGUAGUGUAGUGGUUGAAUAAGGAGGUUGCUGACUCUGCAUCGUUGAAGAUGGUGGAAUAAGCAUUUGGAGGAAGCUGGACAUAUUGGAUUGGAACAACAUGCCAACAAUGCUGGAAUGGAGGGGUCUAUGUGGUCCUUCGUGUUUAUGGGUCCCAUCGGUUGUUCGCGAUGGCCACCUUUGACGGUCAGUCUGGAGUGUUUCCUGCUGCAGUUGGAAGAAUAAUGUUAGGGUUGAACAGGAUCCUGAAGUGAGGAAGACUCACUCUCCCAUUGAACUGCAGACAUCAGCAGAAAGCAGAGGAAGAUUCAGAACUUGACUUCUUGUAUCUUUGCUUGCCAAUUGAUGUUUGCUGUACCAAGCUUUAACCUCAGGACUUUCAACAGAUUUCAGUUCCUCUUUAAUUCAGAAGAGGAGCAACAAUGGAGGACCAAGGUCAUUAAUAUAAGAAGAGUCUAUUCCUGUCUGUGUUUUGAAGGCAUUGUGUUUCAAAAGUGCAGAAGAAAGUUAAGACUGACUAAGAAUUCUAAGUGAGGAACAGUCCCUUUCCCAUUCUGCUGCAGCCAUGAGGAGAAUAUUUGUACUUCUUUUUUUACCUAUGGAACUUCAUCAGGACCCACUUUAACAAGCAGGAGUCUUACAAGUAUUUUUGUUUAAUUAUUUCUGACGUAUUUUUGUCCUCCCUUCUCUAAAGUAACUAUGCAUUCCUCUCCUUGCCCCAAUAAUCCACCUUAUUCCUAUCAUAACCUUAUUGUCUUAAUUUGCUCUUUGAUUUUCCAGCUAAUAAUGUUGUAAUGAUUAUGAUCAUUUGAGUUUCUUUGAUUAUUACAUUGCUUUGAAUUAUUGCUUAUCUUCUCUCCAUCAAGUAUUUUAAAGGGAUUUGACAAGGGAAGAAGGAAGAAGACCAGUGCUGACCAAGAGAAGAAGAGUCCAUUGCCAAGCUUUGUCCAGCAGCCAAUAUCUGAUAACGGAGCAGAAGAUGAGACUGACCUCAACUUGUUAACAAGACUGGAGAUGAAGGACUAACUACUGUCUAACCUGAAAUCUUUGGUAGGGGUUUAUGCUGGCAUUGAUCUGUUUCCAAAAGCAGCUCGCCAUGUUUCUGUGAGAGUCCAAAGAGAUCAGCUAGAACCUGAAAAUAAAGACAGACUGCCAUCAAUUUUGUUUCUUUGACAGCAGACAAAUAUGCUUCAACAAUAGUGCAGAGAUUAAGGUUUGGG